rnacentral:rRNA from 1 species
AGAGAGAGACAUGCGCGCAUAUCAAUAAGCGGAGGAAAAGAAACUAACAAGGAUUCCCUUAGUAACGGCGAGUGAAGCGGGAAGAGCUCAAAUCUGAAAUCUUCAAGGUUUUACCUUGACGAAUUGUAGUUUAAAGAAGUGUUUUCUGCUGAAGUUUUGGUAAAAGUUCUUUGGAAUAGGACAUCAUAGAGGGUGAGAAUCCCGUAUUUGACCAUUAUUUUCAGCUUUGUGAUACACUUUCAAAGAGUCGGAUUGUUUGGGAAUGCAGUCCAAAAUGGGUGGUAAAUUUCAUCUAAAGCUAAAUAUUGGCGAGAGACCGAUAGCGAACAAGUACCGUGAGGGAAAGAUGAAAAGAACUUUGAAAAGAGAGUUAAACAGUACGUGAAAUUGUCAAAAGGGAAGCGUUUGACACCAGUGCUGUUUUCUCGAAAAUCAAUUAAAAAUGGCUCGAUUUUGUAUUGCUUGAGACCUUAAAAGCUCACUGUACAUUUUUCGUGUCUUUUUUAAUGCACUUUUCGUUUAACAAGUCAACAUCAGUUUCUUUUGUUGUAAAAGGGUCAUUGGAAGGUGGCUUUCUUUUCGGAGAAAGUGUUUAUAGCCUUUGGCCUCUGCAAUCGAAGAGACUGAGGUCUGCAGCGUAGACUCUUCGGGGUUAGAUACAUUUGUGCUAAGUUAUAGCUUUUUAUAGACAACUUGUUGACUAUAAUUAGUCUUGUAGCUUACUCGCUUAUGCUAUUUUACCUACGCUUAGGAUGUUGAAGUCAUCGUAUCGCGC